GUCUCCAGCCAGUUACUCUCAUGAUAGUACUGCUAUAAAACUCAUUCUUGUGUGGUGUUCUGUGCUAUAGAUUCUGUGUAUUGCUGUUCAUAUUCGGAGUUCUGGUUUUGUUUUUCCCUUAAAACCUGUUAACAGUUUUUUUUGGGGGUGGGGGGAUUCAGAACUCUUGUUUCCCAUUCCAUAGCACCUGACAUUAUUUCAAGUUUUAUAAUAUCUUAAGGUGUAUAUUUUAUUUUUUUUAUUGGCUUAGUUGUUUUUUGUUUUGUUUUGUUUGAGAUGGAGUUUCACUGUUGCCCAGGCUGGGGUGCAAUGGUGUGAUCUUGGCUCACUGCAGCCUCCACCUCCCGAGUUCAAAUGAUUCUCCUGCCUCAGCUUCCUGAGUAGCUGGGAUUACAGGUGCAUGCCACCAUGCCCGGCUAAUUUUUAUAUUUUUAUUAGAGACGGGAUUUCGCCAUGUUAACCAGGCUGGUCUCGAACUCCUGACCUCAGGUGAUCUGCCCGCCUUGGCCUCCCAAAGUGCUGGGAUUACAGGCAUGAGCCACCGUGCCUGGCCUUAUUGGCUUAGUUUUUAAAUUAUCCUCCAAAAAUUUUGGGCCUUUUUCUGUGGGGAAACAAGUGAAGCUGCUCUUCAGCAUAGACACUACCUUUAUCCCAUCAUUUUAGUAAAAACUAGGUUUGUUUCACUUCUGAGGUGUCUUAUUAAUGUACUUCAUCUGAGAAUUUGUUGAUCUUAAUGUUCGAGCUAUAUAAGAACUGCCAUUAAAAAAAAUGGGAUAAUAGAUGAUUUUAUCAGUAUACCUGUGGAAUAUGUACAAACUGGAUCUAUAGAUAUUUUGAACUGGACCAGGUGGGUAUUGAAGUAACCCAUCAAAAUAUGCUCUGCAGUGAUUCCGCUUAAUGUUUAAAUUCAGUAACGUACUUGAAAGGCAAAUUUCAGUGCUUUUGUAUGUUGGAGGAGGGCUUACUGAUGCGUGCUAAGACCGAUUUCUGAUUGAGGGAUGAACCUUGGGCUCAUUUUUUUCUUGUGAAGUCUCUUUCUAGAAAAUUUUUUGGUUUUGUUCUUUUUAAAAAAUACAUACUUUUUUGAAUGUAUCAUGUCUUCAUUAACAACAGAAAAUCCACAUGGUGUUUACUAAACUUGUUUACGACAUUAAAAAUUUCCUUUUUAUUUUUAGUAGCCCAGGUUGAGUUUUUCACAAGAGAUUUUUUUCUUAGCUGAGGUAUAGUUGUAUAGCAAGAAGAAUUAAGCCAGAUUUUUGUGUGUGGAAAGACAGUUUUCUAUCCACGUCUUUUUCUGUUUGUCAGAAGGUGGGAGUAUGGUCCAAAUAAAUCCAUUAGGUUACUCCUGCAGCAUGCGCUUUUAGCUUCUCUCUUGACUGAGGAUCAAAUAUCCCUUUGUGAGCUGGCCCUCAGCUCCUUUGCUCAUGUGUACAAACCUCAGAUGUUACUACAUUUUAUAUCUACCAGAGCUAUUCAAGCAAUAGUAUUUGAACCACUAGCCUUUUAAAUAAAAUUCUGCCCCAUUACUGAUGUGCAGAUAUUGAGUUCACUUUCAUUUUUUGCCAGAUUUCUUUGCACUACUUUAGGUAAAAAUAGUUAAUCUAUUUUUCUUUGACAUCCUAGUUUGCGUCAGUGACAGAACUUACUGCUUAGUCUUUGUACUUUUUAAAAAAUCUAUAAAUUUAAUGCACUGUCCAAGUGAAAUGUCCUAGUUGUCAUUGUGAUUAAGGGGCCAACUUUCCAGGCAGCUAGCAGAGAUACUAUUCUCUUCCUCUCCCAGCAAAUUUGUAUUCCUUCGCCCACGCAUUCCUGCUAUACUAGAUGGCAGCCAGUGAUGGAACUAUAAAGAUGUCUGUGGUCAUAUGUUGAAUGUGGCAGCUUGAAGAUGUACUGCCACGGGUGAUCUAGGGCAGGCUGUCUUCCAGUCCAUGUGUUCUCGGUCGCCGUAGACAGCGCUCUGGCUACCACCGUGAGGCUACUUGAACUGUCAGGGGCAUCUGCCUAAACCAGAAUCUUUUGUCAGAAACCUUAACCCAACAAAACAAAUCUUGAGUAGCUCAUGCCCGGCUCUUAGGAAUUUUGUCUGUUUAAAAAAAAAAAAAAAAAAAAAGUCCAACUUACUUUAUUUUAUUUUUUUAACCUAGUCACUGUUUACAAUUGUAUGCUAAAGCCUGAAAUAUUGUCUGUGCUGUGGUGUAUGAGCAUUGCCAACUUUAUAUUUAUUGCAGUGAAGAAGAAACUAAAAAUAUAUGGAAAUGAGGAGCAUGUCCAAGCUCCUAAAUCCGUGUGGGUGCAUGUGGGAGAAGUGAGUUAGGGCCUCUUGAAAGGAGGCUUUUUGGAGAGGGGUCCCCCAGGUUUCUUGGUGUUCCUGCUUGGGGAUCACUGCUGCUAGCUGACUGGACCUCCCCAUUGGAAGUUUGUGAUUUUGCUUUGGCAAAGUUUCAUUGACUAGUAGAACUCAUUCUGUUUUAGUGUAUAUUUCAAUAUAAAUGUAAACAUUUUGCUC
rnacentral:lncRNA from 1 species